rnacentral:rRNA from 1 species
UACGGGGGGGGUAAGCGUUGUUCGGAAUUACUGGGCGUAAAGGGCUCGUAGGCGGCCAACUAAGUCAGACGUGAAAUCCCUCAGCUUAACUGGGGAACUGCGUCUGAUACUGGAUGGCUUGGAUUUGGGAGAGGGAUGCGGAAUUCCAGGUGUAGCGGUGAAAUGCGUAGAUAUCGUAAGGAAGACCAGUGGCGAAGGCGGGUCUCUGGACAGUUCCUGACGCUGAGGCACGAAGGUCAGGGGGAGCAAACGGG